UUAUGUCAAACGUUUAUGACUUGUUUAUAAACGUUUAUGACACGUUCAUGACAGUGUCAUGUCACUCCUAUGUAGAUACCUUCAAGUAAAGUGUAACCGCAAUGUUUGUAGGCUAUGACGGUUUGAGCCAUGAGAGUUGAGCGCUCUUCUUCAGAUGUCAGGGAAACGUCCACCUAGGGUCUUGAAUCUUGUUUUCCACUGACACUACCUGCAGUAUCGUGAUAUAUUUGAUAUUUUUCAUGAAAUCAAAUUUCACUGAGAAUAUACAGUUGACGUUAUUAAACACACAUUGACACACUUAUUUCUGCUUAUAGCUACAUUCUAGUGUGGUAUAGAUAUUUAUCAAUUGUUAAUGUACCACUUAUAUAUGCUAAUUUGGGGCAUUGCAGAGUGUUUUUCUGUGAGGAGACGCUUCCUCGUCACCUACUUCACUCUGGCUUUCAGCUGACGUAACACUGUACCGACUAAAUGAGUGUGUAAAUUAGGGUGUGAUUCACGUUUCAAUGCAUCGAUCAGUAUUUGCAGAGUGGUUUGAGGUUGUUUUUUUUUUUAAACCAGAUAUUUACUAUCUGCACUCAGUCAGAAGAACAACUUAUUCAGCAGUAUUACAGCCCGUGUCUUGACUGAAUUGAUGUCCAUUUGUGUCCUGGAAAUUUCAGUUUGAAGAAGUGGAAUCUGCCCACUUUUUAAGCUACUUUUUCCAUAUUUGUCCUUUCAUUUCACUCUUAGUUUUUUCAGUGGUACGUGUGAUUCUCCGUGUUUGAAUUGAUUAGGUAAAACCAAAUCGUCUCCUCAGCAGUACGGUUGAUUUUAUGUAAUGCUGUGAGGUAAUUUGGGAAAUACUGAAAGGAUACGCUGUGUGUGUGUGAGACGACGAGGAUCCACGGACAUACUGCAGUUUGACGUGUAUGAGUUCCUUUAUCUUUUAUCAUGGAAAUGAAUAAAGAUGUUUUUUUACGGAGG